CGGGCUAAACCCGCGUACAUGCCACCGGGGCAUCCCGGAGGCAGGAAAGGCUUCGGCCGGACAGGGAUGGGCAUGCGGCGCAUUAGGCAGUAGGCGGGGUAACGGCCCACCUAACCGACGAUGCGUAGGGGUUCUGAGAGGAAGGUCCCCCACACUGGUACUGAGACACGGACCAGACUCCUACGGGAGGCAGCAGUGAGGAAUAUUGGUCAAUGGUCGGGAGACUGAACCAGCCAAGCCGCGUGAGGGAUGAAGGUACAGAGUAUCGUAAACCUCUUUUGUCAGGGAACAAAGGCGGGGACGUGUCCCCGGAUGAGUGUACCUGAAGAAAAAGCAUCGGCUAACUCCGUGCCAGCAGCCGCGGUAAUACGGAGGAUGCGAGCGUUAUCCGGAUUUAUUGGGCUUAAAGGGUGCGCAGGCGGUCUGUUAAGUCAGCGGUCAAAGCCCGGGGCUCAACCCCGGCCCGCCGUUGAAACUGGCAGUCUCGAGUUGGAGAGAAGUAUGCGGAAUGCGCGGUGUAGCGGUGAAAUGCAUAGAUAUCGCGCAGAACUCCGAUUGCGAAGGCAGCAUGCCGGCUCCACACUGACGCUGAGGCACGAAAGCGUGGGUAUCGAACAGGAUUAGAUACCCUGGUAGUCCACGCAGUAAACGA
rnacentral:rRNA from 1 species